AAGCCCCGGAGCCCUUUAUGGGCUCAUCUUCAAAUUUGCAGUUUGACGUAAUCUCACCACGGGACU
rnacentral:tRNA from 1 species